rnacentral:tRNA from 1 species
GGUGCUGUAGUUCAGUUGGUUAGAAUAUCGGCCUGUCACGCCGGAGGUCGCGAGUUCGAGUCUCGUCGGCACCGCCA